AGAAAUUCAACGAUCGAUAAAAAUGCGAUAGUGCAUUGAGCUUCUUUUUUCAAUUUCACAACAGCUUUACUUUGCCAAGGAAGAAAAGAUUGUUGUAAGGUGAAUAAACCUCAUAAAACUAUGACUUAUAUUAUGUAUAAAACAUAAAUUAGUUACAAGCUACUGUAUAGUUACUUUAAGAUUCAUUCAUCCUUUGUAAUUUUUCAUUCCAUUAUUUCAUUAUGUAUUUUCAUCAUGUUUAAAAAAAGCUAGUAUUCAUAAAUGAACUAAGUUUAUUCAAAAAUGUUAUUUUUACGUAUUAACUAUUUUAUCUUUCGUACGUCGAUAUAAUACAGUCUCAUAUUUUGGAUGACACCAGAGAAACGUGUAAAUACAGACUACCAUUUUCAUACUAACUCUCCUAAACAAUCUAUUACCAUUCAACGUAUGCUACCUAUUAAAGUUUCAACGUCGGAAGAAAAUUGUAUCAACUUAUAUGUCGUUCCUACUACUUACGACAUCAAUUAUUAAUCAGAUCAUAAAUCGAAAAUAGACGAAAUGAAAAGGAAUAUGUAUGAAAUGAUGACAUCAAUAGAAGGAAUGCUUUAUUUUCUUUUCGGAAUUACAAAGCUCUGUUUCUGAUACAACAGUUCUUAUCCUGAUAACUUCAGUGUUGAAAAUACUUCGGCUGAAGAGGGAAAGCGAAUAAAACCUUAUAUUUUAGUGUUUAACCUAUAAUAUUGGCAUAAAGAAUUCCCUAUUGGGGAACUUUAUUAAGACAUAUACGAGAAAGAGUUUUAGUCGUAGACGUAUCCAAUUUCAUAUGAGCAGAGAAGAUGAAAGAGCUAUCAAAUACAUUCGAUUAUUACAUACUACCGAACAAAAUCCUUUGUAGUAUAGUUGGAAUGUGGCCCAUCGAACAGAAAAGUUCGACGUGUAGCAAAAUAUUUUCAUAUAUCCGUUUAACAUUCACACUAAUAUCACUCAUUAGUGUUUUUGUGCCCGAAAUUAUGUUGAUAGCAGUGAAUUGGGGGAACAUAGAGAUCCUAGCAGGGGCAGGAAGCAUUGUAACCACGCUCGGACAAACGUUGUUCAAAAUGUUUUACCUAAUAGCAAGAAGAGAAAGAUCGUAUAUGCUUUAUUACGAAAUAAAAAGUUUGUGGGAUACUGCCAAUGAUUCGAAUGAAAUACAAUCUUACAUACAGUUCGCUUAUUGGGCACGUAUUUGUACGAUAGUUUUUUAUUCAUCCUGCGUGUGCAAUGUGAUCACUUUUUCCAGCGCUGCAGCUGUUGAUUAUUUUAGAUUUGACUACAACGCCAAUAGUACAAGUAACAGUCGACAUUUACCUUUCAUCGUCUGGUACGGCACAGAUAUUUCAGCAUCUCCCAAGUUCGAAAUCGCUUUCAUUUGUCAAUUUUUAUCAGCCACGUUAUCUAUCACUUCAAUCGCCGGUUUGGAUUGCUCAUUUAUGACCACGAUGUUACAUGUGUCUGCUCAAUUUAAAUUAAUCAAUACCUGGAUCAGUAAUAUAGGAACUGAAAUAAAUUGCAAUCCAAAUUACACGCAAAAGAUAAAGGUAGAUCUAACGAGAUGUAUUCGCCAUCAUCAGCGAAUAAUACAUGUGGUGAAUGAGGUGAAUAAUUUAUUAACACCCAUCGUUUUCCUGCAAAUUCUUACUAGCGGAAUAGAAGUUUGUUUAAGUGGGUAUGCAAUUCUCGAUACCGGGAAAGCAGAAGCCGAUCUAGUGAAAUUUAUAUCUUAUUUCAUUUCUAUGGCGGUACACCUCUUAUUAUGGUGUUGGCCUGGUGAAAUCCUCGUUCAAGAAAGUCAAGAAAUAGGUCAUGCAGUCUAUUUCAAUGUACCGUGGUACGAUUUACCGCCAAUUUAUCAGCGACACCUUUGCCUUAUGAUUGUUAGGGCGCAGCAAUAUUCCAGUAUUUCAGCAUUAACUUUCCAAACGUUGUCUAUCCAUACAUUAACGGCCGUAUUCAACACAGCUGCGUCGUAUUUUACCUUAUUACAACAGAUACAACAAACGUAAACUUCAAAGAGACGAGAAAGGCAAUCUAUAAUUUCGCUCGUAUUAAAAACAACUCCUAUCGAAAAUAGUCGGAUGUACAUCCAUAAACGUAUAGCAUCUUCAUACAAUUAUCCUGUAGUUAAUUAAAAGAGUAAAUGUUCACUCCUUAUCCUACCUAACAUUAUUCUUCGAUUGAAUGUAGAUUUUUUUUUUUAUUUAACCAAUGUAAUCUCUAUCGUUAUUUACAUUACAUAAAGUUUACAUACAUAAGCUUGGCCUUAAUAUUCAUAUCUUGUUAUGGAUCUAGAUCAAUAGGUUGAAGCUUUCCAGGAACAAGUGUGUGACUAUGCAAAUUGCUAUUGUGGGGUUAUGUCGCAUUACAUUACAUAAUAAUGGCAGACAGUAAUUCAAUUUCUGGAGUUUUAUAAUGAAGCUUUGUUCCAGUUUGUGGAAUACUGGCAUUGCAACAAUAGAUGAUUUAUGUCCUGCCUCUCAUAACCAUAUUGACACUAGUGUCGCUUAUUAUACCUGCUCGGUCCAAUGAGAAGGCCAGGUUACAAUUUGCUUGAUCGGUAUUGCUGAUUGUCCUUGUAAUUUCUUGUUUUAGAUUUUUCCUCAAUAUACCAUCGUUUGGACUUUUAGUUCUGAAAAUGUGGAAGGUUCGUAAAGGAAAUUUGGGAGGGGUUCAUCGGUGAUUGACUUGGCUGCAAGCUUUUCCAGUAUCCUAUUUUCAACAUUCAUAAUUUAGGAUUGAACGCGCGAUACUCUUUUAUGUUACUGACACAAGUCGAAAAUAAACGUAAUAGAAAGGAAUAUGUGCAAAAUAAUGACAUCAAUAUUGAAAAUACUUCGAUUGAAGAUUGAAAGCGAAUAAAAUUGUUAUGCUUUAGUAUCUAAUCUGUAAUAUUUAUGGACACAGAUGCAUUUUUUCAUGACGAGUAUAAACAGCUUACUGGUUAAAAGACUUUUGUCAUUUUAAGAUAGCCAUAUAUUAUAUUUAAUGUACAUUUUCACAUGAUUUAUAUCUAAUAUUUAAAUCUUAUUUAUAUUUUUAUUUUACAUCUUUAUAUUUACAUCUAGAGAAUUCUUAGUGCUACACGCACUUAGAUACUUAUAUAACUUAAAUGUAAUAACAAAUAUAACUUAGUUCUAAGUUAAAUAAUAUAUAAUUCA